rnacentral:misc_RNA from 1 species
UUGUAGAUAUCCUGGUGUUAAAGUACCCACAAGGCAAGUUGCUGCUGUGUACAGGAAUCCUUUCAACAAAAUUGCCAUGUUCAAGCGCAUUUUUCGCGCCACCAGUAGUUGAUUGCUUGUAUAAACGUUCCAACAUGCCAGAUAGUGUUAUCAGUCCUGAUAUAGGUAUAGUGUUAUCAGUCCUGAUAUAGGUAUUGUGGGGUCUCUGUAGAUGUACGUGGGUGCAAUGAAUGCAGUGUUAACUGUCGAG